rnacentral:lncRNA from 1 species
AAGUUCUUUUCUUAAUUGUCAUUCAUCAUCCUGAACUCAGGAAUGGGGGAAAUUCUAAUAGUGUUUAUCGUUUUCUAUUGAUAUGAAAAAAAUCAAAUUACGAAUUUAACAGGGCAAAUUAGUUUCCUCUUAACCCUUAAAAAAUGCCUAGCCUCCUUGACCAUAUACUAUCAUCAGAAAAAAAUAUCCAUUCCGUUCCAUUCGUCCUAUGUAUGUUUAUAUUUUCUGAACUGAAAACUUUCAUUAUAAUAUGUAAAUGCAAUUCACCCAUUCCGGCAACAAUAUUGGUGCUCAAGUAGGUCCUCCUUUGAAUGUGUGGGAUGUAAAAAUACGGCACAAGUCACAAUUAUUUCCUUAUCCAUAUACUCUUAUUUCAAGUUCCAGUUCAAAUUUCGCAUACUGUAUCCCUGUCGACCCCCUACUUUGCAGAACCUACCUACUAUAGUAUUUGUUAAUUUGUUUUCGUCUUGAAUAUGUUUGCAAUAUUUGCCACUGCACAUUAAGCAAACAGCAACCAUCAAUCAUUUCAUAUAAUAAUGCAAUACAAGUAGUGUCUUCUAAACAGAUCCCGAAACUUUUCUUUAAAAUAAAUCCGUCGUAUAAACUGAUCCUCUAGUUCCAGCAAAUAAAAAAAACCCACAAUUUCUCCUGGUACCCUCAUAAUGAACAGAUUUUAAUGAACCAUUUCUCAAAUAUCCAACAUACUAUUAAUUUUUUUUAUAAUACUGAUCUUAAAAUUUGAUUUAAACAUUAAGUACUGUCUUAUAUAUUUCGCC